rnacentral:sRNA from 1 species
GAAACGUCCACCCGGCACCGCCAUGGCGGGUAACACCGGGACCGUCCCACCGCAAGGCGGGACUACC